rnacentral:rRNA from 1 species
UACGUAGGGACCAAGCGUUGUUCGGAUUUACUGGGCGUAAAGGGCGCGUAGGCGGCUUGACAAGUCACUUGUGAAAUCUCUGGGCUUAACCCAGAACGGCCAAGUGAAACUGUCGAGCUAGAGUGUGGAAGGGGCAAUCGGAAUUCUUGGUGUAGCGGUGAAAUGCGUAGAUAUCAAGAGGAACACCUGAGGUGAAGACGGGUUGCUGGUCUAACACUGACGCUGAGGCGCGAAAGCCAGGGGAGCAAACGGG